AGGACGAACGCUGGCGGCGUGCUUAACACAUGCAAGUCGAGCGGAAAGGCCCUUCGGGGUACUCGAGCGGCGAACGGGUGAGUAACACGUGAGUAACCUGCCCUAGGCUUUGGGAUAACCCUCGGAAACGGGGGCUAAUACCGAAUAUUC
rnacentral:rRNA from 1 species